GGGAGUGAAUGGGCUCUGGUGGGUCCCACGGACUUCAACUCCGUCGGCUUUGAUUCUUUUAUUGAAACGUUGGGUUCGAUUCCCUCUCACUCCCG
rnacentral:tRNA from 1 species